GACGAACGCUGGCGGCGUGCUCAACACAUGCAAGUCGAACGGAAAGGCCCUGCUUUUGUGGGGUGCUCGAGUGGCGAACGGGUGAGUAACACGUGAGUAACCUGCCCUUGACUUUGGGAUAACUUCAGGAAACUGGGGCUAAUACCGGAUAGGAGCUCCUGCUGCAUGGUGGGGGUUGGAAAGGUUCGGCGGUUGGGGAUGGACUCGCGGCUUAUCAGCUUGUUGGUGGGGUAGUGGCUUACCAAGGCUUUGACGGGUAGCCGGCCUGAGAGGGUGACCGGCCACAUUGGGACUGAGAUACGGCCCAGACUCCUACGGGAGGCAGCAGUGGGGAAUAUUGCACAAUGGGCGGAAGCCUGAUGCAGCAACGCCGCGUGCGGGAUGACGGCCUUCGGGUUGUAAACCGCUUUCGCCUGUGACGAAGCGUGAGUGACGGUAAUGGGUAAAGAAGCACCGGCUAACUACGUG
rnacentral:rRNA from 1 species